CUAAGGAAGGAAUGGGCGAUCUCAGACCCAGCAACUUUUAAUAUUUCUACCAACUCUAUUAGUCUAUUGUGUCUAACUCAAGAUUUUCUUUAGUGUUUUCUUUGAUUUUUUGUCAGAAAUUCACCGGCUCUUCAGAGAGAUGAAGAUAUGUUCUACAGUCUAUCAACAACCGCCUGGAUUUUUGGCUAAAAAUCUGGUGUCUCCGGUCGUUGAAGAUAUAAGCUCAACAGAUAAAAACCAAAAAUUCCCGUCCUUUUGCUAUCGCUGAAGAGAGAAGCAACUGUUCAUCACAAAUUCUCUCCACUAUAGGGGUGUGAUUGGGUGCCUAUGACGCAAGCUUGUUGUAGAGAAAUAAUUUACGAAAAAAAAUUGAGGAAGAGAAGGAUAAGCUUCAGAAGCAACAAGGGAGGAAGAAAUUCAAUUAAGGCACAUUGAGGUUACAAUUUUUCACGGAACCGUUCAAACUUUUUCCUUUUGUAUGGGGGGAAAGUGAUUUGCACACAAGAAGAACUUGGCAUACAAAGUUUGUUGAUAAGAUUUUGGAAGCAGCGAAACCAAUUAGUUUGGAAGUUUCAUAGGCAACUGCAAAGUCGGAACAGGCCCUAAGCAAGUACUAGCUAACCUGAAGGUAGCUUACUAGGGAGAUCAAUGCACAGACGAAGGGAGUGGCAAAAAAAAUUGAAUGCAAGAGAAUAGAUUGGCACACAGACUUAGGGUCUUUCGAAAAGAACUAAAUUCAACGAAGACAAAUAAAUACAUUUUUAUUAUAUAGAAUAUUAACUUAUUUUUCCUAUAAUAGAUAUUAAGAAUACAAACACAUGAUCUCUUUUGUGGUUACAGUAUGUGUUUGCCCUUUAUAGGAGUUUUUUUUUGUACAUCAUAUUUACUGACUUUUGUAAUGUUAUUCAUGUGUAAGAAUUU